ACUCCUACGGGAGGCAGCAGUGGGGAAUAUUGCACAAUGGGCGCAAGCCUGGACUGCCAGCCAUGCCGCGUGUGUGAAGAAGGCCUUCGGGUUGUAAAGCACUUUCAGUCGUGAGGAAGGUAGUGUAGUUAAUAGCUGUAUUAUUUGACGUUAGCGACAGAAGAAGCACCGGCUAACUCCGUGCCAGCAGCCGCGGUAAUACGGAGGGUGCGAGCGUUAAUCGGAAUUACUGGGCGUAAAGCGCAUGCAGGUGGUUUGUUAAGUCAGAUGUGAAAGCCCGGGGCUCAACCUCGGAAUUGCAUUUGAAACUGGCAGACUAGAGUACUGUAGAGGGGGGUAGAAUUUCAGGUGUAGCGGUGAAAUGCGUAGAGAUCUGAAGGAAUACCGGUGGCGAAGGCGGCCCCUGGACAGAUACUGACACUCAGAUGCGAAAGCGUGGGAGCAAACAGGAUUAGAUACCCUGGUAGGUGA
rnacentral:rRNA from 1 species